CGAAGGGUGCAAGCGUUAAUCGGAAUUACUGGGCGUAAAGCGUGCGUAGGUGGUUUCUUAAGUCUGCUGUGAAAGCCCUGGGCUCAACCUGGGAAUGGCGGUGGAUACUGAGAAGCUAGAGUGCGGUAGAGGAGGGUGGAAUUCCCGGUGUAACGGUGAAAUGCGUAGAGAUCGGGAGGAACAUCAGUGGCGAAGGCGGCCCUCUGGACCAGCACUGACGCUGAGGCACGAAAGCGUGGGGAGCAAACAGGAUUAGAUACCCUGGUAGUCCACGCCCUAAACGAUGCGGACUGGACGUUGGGCACAAUUCGGUGCUCAGUGUCGAAGCUAACGCGUUAAGUCCGCCGCCUGGGGAGUACGCUCGCAAGAGUG
rnacentral:rRNA from 1 species